rnacentral:rRNA from 1 species
GAUGAACGCUAGCUGCAGGCCUAACACAUGCAAGUCGAGGGACCGGCGCAGGGGUGAGUAACACGUAUCCAACCUGCCCUUUACUCGGAGAAAGCCUUUCGAAAGAAAGAUUAAUACACGAUAUAAAGGAUGGGGAUGCGUUCCAUUAGGUUGUUGGUGAGGUAACGGCCAACCAAGCCUUCGAUGGAUAGGGGUUCUGAGAGGAAGGUCCACCAGAAUGGAACUGAGGCACGGUCCAAACUCCUACGGGAGGCAGGAGUGUGGAACAUUGGUCAAUGAGCGUUAGCCUGAACCAGCCGAGUAGCGUGAAGGAUGACUAGUUUUGAGUCGUAUAUCUCUCUGAUAUAAGGAUAGUUAUUAUCUGAAGAAGCAUCGGCUAACUCCGUGCCAGCAGCCGCGGUAAUUC